rnacentral:rRNA from 1 species
GAUGAACGCUGGCGGCGUGCCUAAUACAUGCAAGUCGAGCGAACGGACGAGAAGCUUGCUUCUCUGAUGUUAGCGGCGGACGGGUGAGUAACACGUGGAUAACCUACCUAUAAGGCUGGGAUAACUUCGGGAAACCGGAGCUAAUACCGGAUAAUAUUUUGAACCGCAUGGUUCAAAAGUGAAAGACGGUCUUGCUGUCACUUAUAGAUGGAUCCGCGCUGCAUUAGCUAGUUGGUAAGGUAACGGCUUACCAAGGCAACGAUGCAUAGCCGACCUGAGAGGGUGAUCGGCCACACUGGAACUGAGACACGGUCCAGACUCCUACGGGAGGCAGCAGUAGGGAAUCUUCCGCAAUGGGCGAAAGCCUGACGGAGCAACGCCGCGUGAGUGAUGAAGGUCUUCGGAUCGUAAAACUCUGUUAUUAGGGAAGAACAUAUGUGUAAGUAACUGUGCACAUCUGGACGGUACCUAAUCAGAAAGCCACGGCUAACUACGUGCCAGCAGCCGCGGUAAUACGUAGGUGGCAAGCGUUAUCCGGAAUUAUUGGGCGUAAAGCGCGCGUAGGCGGUUUUUUAAGUCUGAUGUGAAAGCCCACGGCUCAACCGUGGAGGGUCAUUGGAAACUGGAAAACUUGAGUGCAGAAGAGGAAAGUGGAAUUCCAUGUGCAGCGGUGAAAUGCGCAGAGAUAUGGAGGAACACCAGUGGCGAAGGCGACUUUCUGGUCUGUAACUGACGCUGAUGUGCGAAAGCGUGGGGAUCAAAUAGGAUUAGAUACCCUGGUAGUCCACGCCGUAAACGAUGAGUGCUAAGUGUUAGGGGGUUUCCGCCCCUUAGUGCUGCAGCUAACGCAUUAAGCACUCCGCCUGGGGAGUACGACCGCAAGGUUGAAACUCAAAGGAAUUGACGGGGACCCGCACAAGCGGUGGAGCAUGUGGUUUAAUUCGAAGCAACGCGAAGAACCUUACCAAAUCUUGACAUCCUUUGACAACUCUAGAGAUAGAGCCUUCCCCUUCGGGGGACAAAGUGACAGGUGGUGCAUGGUUGUCGUCAGCUCGUGUCGUGAGAUGUUGGAUUAAGUCCCGCAACGAGCGCAACCCUUAAGCUUAGUUGCCAUCAUUAAGUUGGGCACUCUAAGUUGACUGCCGGUGACAAACCGGAGGAAGGUGGGGAUGACGUCAAAUCAUCAUGCCCCUUAUGAUUUGGGCUACACACGUGCUACAAUGGACAAUACAAAGGGCAGCGAAACCGCGAGGUCAAGCAAAUCCCAUAAAGUUGUUCUCAGUUCGGAUUGUAGUCUGCAACUCGACUACAUGAAGCUGGAAUCGCUAGUAAUCGUAGAUCAGCAUGCUACGGUGAAUACGUUCCCGGGUCU